AGAGUUUGAUCAUGGCUCAGAACGAACGCUGGCGGCAUGCCUAACACAUGCAAGUCGAACGCGUGUAGCAAUACACGAGUGGCGCACGGGUGAGUAACGCGUGGGAACCUGCCCAGUGGUAGGGAAUAACUGCGGGAAACUGCAGCUAAUACCCUAUACGCCCUACGGGGGAAAGUUUUUCGCCAUUGGAGGGGCCCGCGUCGGAUUAGCUAGUUGGUGAGGUAAGAGCUUACCAAGGCGACGAUCCGUAGCUGGUCUGAGAGGAUGAUCAGCCACACUGGGACUGAGACACGGCCCAGACUCCUACGGGAGGCAGCAGUGGGGAAUAUUGGACAAUGGGGGAAACCCUGAUCCAGCAAUGCCGCGUGAGUGAUGAAGGCCUUAGGGUUGUAAAGCUCUUUCGACGGGGACGAUGAUGACGGUACCCGUAGAAGAGCC
rnacentral:rRNA from 1 species